CCCUUUCUUAACAAGACAGCACAAAAAAUGUCUAAAAGAGGUGAAUUUUCGCAAAAUAUUAAUCUUAGUGAAUCCUAAAGUUAUGAAUAUGCUUUCACAUUGAAUACAGGUUGUGAAAUGGCGGGAGGACAAUUUCGCAUAUCGCUUAGUUUAUCUGUCGGCGCUGUGAUGAACUGCACUGACAAUAUUGUCACCAAAAAUAUACGUAAUUGCUGUGCACGGAAUUCCUGGUCGCUUGAAUCAUUCACCAGCUGCUGGCGUCGGUGAUAUGUUUGUGGCAAUCGUCAAAAUGGGUAAACCUGAGUUGAGGAAGAAGCUGUAGUCAUACGGCAGAGAAAGUCAUUCCGAAGGAAGGACGGCGUGUUGAGGAUAACGCGGGAUUCUAGUAAA